GAACCUACGGGAGGCAGCAGUGAGGGAUAUUGCACAAUGGGGGAAACCCUGAUGCAGCGACGCCGCGUGAGUGAAGAAGUAUCUCGGUAUGUAAAGCUCUAUCAGCAGGAAAGAUAAUGACGGUACCUGACUAAGAAGCCCCGGCUAACUACGUGCCAGCAGCCGCGGUAAUACGUAGGGGGCAAGCGUUAUCCGGAUUCACUGGGUGUAAAGGGAGCGUAGACGGCGAGACAAGUCUGGAGUGAAAGGCCGGGGCCCAACCCCGGGACGGCUCUGGAAACUGCCUGGCUGGAGUACAGGAGAGG
rnacentral:rRNA from 1 species